CACACGUCUUAUAAUUUCGGGUAAUAUUAAAUGACCAUACGACUUACUUGGAAACUUAAUUAUGUUAAUUACAGAAUACAUUAUCCAUGGAAAAUGGUGAAACUGAAGAACAAGGUACAUCAGAAGACAGUUUUUUGAAAAACUUGACAAAAGGAUUAGAUGAAAUGCUUUGUUUAGAAGAUGUCUAUAAAGAUAAUUGGGAUAUUGCAGAAAGUUCAUCGAGCGAGAGUGAAACGAGCCCGAGCGACGAACCAGUAGGCCCCGGUCAUUU